GAAUUACUCCCUCCGUUCCGAAUUACUUGUCUUAGAUUUGUCUUAGAUACAAAGGUAUCUAGCACUAAAAUGAGUCUAGAUACGCAUCCGUAUCUAGACAAAUCUAAGACAUAAUUCGGAAUGAAGGGAGUACUAC
rfam:Triticum aestivum genome assembly, contig: Triticum_aestivum_CS42_TGACv1_scaffold_486370_6AS